CCUACGGGAGGCAGCAGUGAGGAAUAUUGGUCAAUGGACGAGAGUCUGAACCAGCCAAGUAGCGUGAAGGAUGACUGCCCUAUGGGUUGUAAACUUCUUUUAUAUGGGAAUAAAAUGUUCCACGUGUGGGAUUUUGUAUGUACCAUAUGAAUAAGGAUCGGCUAACUCCGUGCCAGCAGCCGCGGUAAUACGGAGGAUCCGAGCGUUAUCCGGAUUUAUUGGGUUUAAAGGGAGCGUAGGUGGAUUGUUAAGUCAGUUGUGAAAGUUUGUGGCUCAACCGUAAAAUUGCAGUUGAAACUGGCAGUCUUGAGUACAGUAGAGGUAUGCGGAAUUCGUGGUGUAGCGGUGAAAUGCUUAGAUAUCACGAAGAACUCCGAUUGCGAAGGCAGUUCACUGGACUGCAACUGACACUGAGGCUCGAAAGUGUGGGUAUCAAACAGGAUUAGAUACCCUUGUAGUC
rnacentral:rRNA from 1 species